CAGACUUUUCAGAGAUGGAUUGGUGCCUUCGGGACUCAGAUACAGGUGCUGCAUGGCUGUCGUCAGCUCGUGUCGUGAGAUGUUGGGUUAAGUCCCGCAACGAGCGCAACCCUUUUCCUUAUUUGCCAGCAUUUCGGAUGGGAACUUUAAGGAAACUGCCCGGGACAAACUGGAAGAAGGGGGGGAAAAACUCCAGUCCUCCUGGCCCUUACGGCCAGGGCUACCCCCGUGCUACAAUGGUCGGUACCAAGGGUUGCUACCCCCCGAGGUGAUGCUAAUCCCAAAAAGCCGAUCCUAAUCCGGAUUGGAGUCUGCAACUCCACUCCCUGAAAUCGGAAUCCCUAGUAAUCCCGAAUCAAAAUGCCCCGGUGAAUACCUUCCCGGGUCUUGUACCCACCGAA
rnacentral:rRNA from 1 species